UGACUUCCUCCAGCCAUGGCCACGCGUAGGCCACCUCGUCCGUCCUCUGGGGGCCACGGCGCUGGCUAUGCGGGCCCCCUGGCCGGCUCCGACGGGCUGCUGGCGGGCAAGGAGAAGGCGACCAUGCAGAACCUGAACGGCCGCCUGGCCUCCUACCUGCACAAGGUGCGCGCCCUGGAGACGGCCAGAGGCGACCUGGAGGUGAAGAUGCGCGACUGGUACCGGGAGCAGCGGCCCGGGCCCGCCCGCGACUACAGCCACUACUUUGGGACCAUCGAGGACCUGCGGGACAAGAUUCCUGGUGCCACCGUUGAGAACUCCAAGGUAGUCCUGCAGAUCGACAAUGCUCAUUUGGCUGCAGGUGACUUCCCAACCAAGUUCGAGAUGGAGCAGGCCCUGGCCAUCAGCGUGGAAGCCGCCCUGGACGGCCCGCUGGCAGAAACGGAGGCUCGCAUCGCAGCCCAGCCGGCACAGAGCCAGGCACUGAUCAGCGGCCUGGAAGCCCAGCUGAGCGACCUGCGAGCCGACAUGAGUGGCAGAACCAGCAGAACCAGGAGUACCAGCAGCUCAGGGACAUCAAGUCCUGCCUGAAGCAGAUCGCCACCUACCGCACCUGCUGGAGAGCCAGGAUGCCUUCCACACCCACCUGUCCCUGCCCAAGGCCCUCUGAGUCCAGUGGCCCCUG